rnacentral:rRNA from 1 species
CGGACGACGCUGGCGGCGUGGAUUAGGCAUGCAAGUCGGACGGUAGGGCUUUAUCGUAAGAUAGAGUUUGAGAGUGGCGAACGGGUGAGUAACACGUAGGAAUCUACCCUUAAGACGGGGACAACCCAGGGAAACUUGGGCUAAUACCGGAUGAGAGUGCGAGAGAUUGCAUUUAAAAGGAUGGCGAAAGUUGUCGCUUAGGGAUGAGCCUGCGGUCUAUUAGUUAGUUGGUGAGGUAAGAGCUCACCAAGGCGAUGAUAGAUAGGCGGCCUUAACGGGUGGUCGCCCACACUGGGAUUGAGAUACGGCCCAGACUCCUACGGGAGGCAGCAGUGAGGAAUAUUGCGCAAUGGGGGCAACCCUGACGCAGCAACGCCGCGUGAGUGAGGAAGGUUUUCGGACUGUAAAGCUCUGUCGAGCGGGAAGAAGUGUACCAUGGCUAAUAUCCAUGAUAUUUGACGGUACCGCUAGAGGAAGCACCGGCUAACUCCGUG